CACACACACACACACACACACACCCCGGCGUGUCUGUCUCGAAACCCCUCGCGCGACCCCACACCCAGCUGGAAUUCGGCAAAAGCCGGAAACAGUGUCUCAGGAACCAUAGUAGGUUCUGGGGACUAAAGAUGCGUCGGACAGGAUCCUUGGACUGAAGAAACUGCCGUCUUGUGAAAGAAACACCCCUUCACUGCGUGUGCAGGCAUCCGUGGUGGACUCUGCAUCACCCCAUGGGACUCAGAGGGCGUGGGAACCUGGACAAACAUCAGAGUGACACUCUGCCUGCUGCUUUUGCCACAGGCUGGGAGGCGAGACCAUGUGAAGACACAGGGAACGUGGAAGGCCAUCUACAAGCCAAGGAGACGGGCCUCAGAAGAAACCAACCCCCUGAUGCCUCGAUCUCCAACUUGCAGCCUCCAGAACUGUGAGAAAAUAAAUUUCUCUUGUGUAAGCCACCCAGCCUGUGCUCCUUGUUCUGGCAGCCCCAGCAAACUAAUACAAAUACUGAUAAAAACGAAGCCAAACAUUUAAAAGUAAUAAUAAAUAACUUAGUUGAAAGUUUAUUUUUUUUUUCUUGAAGAUUUUACUUUUUCCUUUUUCUCCCAAAGCCCCCAGUACACAGUUGUGUAUUUUUAGUUGUGGGUCCUUCUAGUUGUGGCAGGUGGGACACCGCCUCAGCAUGGCUUGAUGAGCAGUGCCAAUGUCCACGCCCAGGAUCCGAACUGGUGAAACUCUGGGCCAUGGAAGCAGAGCGC
rnacentral:lncRNA from 1 species